rnacentral:rRNA from 1 species
GACGAACGCUGGCGGCGUGCUUAACACAUGCAAGUCGAACGGAAAGGCCCUGCUUUUGUGGGGUGCUCGAGUGGCGAACGGGUGAGUAACACGUGAGUAACCUGCCCUUGACUUUGGGAUAACUUCAGGAAACUGGGGCUAAUACCGGAUAGGAGCUCCUGCUGCAUGGUGGGGGUUGGAAAGUUUCGGCGGUUGGGGAUGGACUCGCGGCUUAUCAGCUUGUUGGUGGGGUAGUGGCUUACCAAGGCUUUGACGGGUAGCCGGCCUGAGAGGGUGACCGGCCACAUUGGGACUGAGAUACGGCCCAGACUCCUACGGGAGGCAGCAGUGGGGAAUAUUGCACAAUGGGCGGAAGCCUGAUGCAGCAACGCCGCGUGCGGGAUGACGGCCUUCGGGUUGUAAACCGCUUUCGCCUGUGACGAAGCGUGAGUGACGGUAAUGGGUAAAGAAGCACCGGCUAACUACGUGCCAGCAGCCGCGGUGAUACGUAGGGUGCGAGCGUUGUCCGGAUUUAUUGGGCGUAAAGGGCUCGUAGGUGGUUGAUCGCGUCGGAAGUGUAAUCUUGGGGCUUAACCCUGAGCGUGCUUUCGAUACGGGUUGACUUGAGGAAGGUAGGGGAGAAUGGAAUUCCUGGUGGAGCGGUGGAAUGCGCAGAUAUCAGGAGGAACACCAGUGGCGAAGGCGGUUCUCUGGGCCUUUCCUGACGCUGAGGAGCGAAAGCGUGGGGAGCGAACAGGCUUAGAUACCCUGGUAGUCCACGCUGUAAACGGUGGGUACUAGGUGUAGGGUCCAUUCCACGGGUUCCGUGCCGUAGCUAACGCUUUAAGUACCCCGCCUGGGGAGUACGGCCGCAAGGCUAAAACUCAAAGGAAUUGACGGGGCCCCGCACAAGCGGCGGAGCAUGCGGAUUAAUUCGAUGCAACGCGUAGAACCUUACCUGGGUUUGACAUGGAUCGGGAGUGCUCAGAGAUGGGUGUGCCUCUUUUGGGGUCGGUUCACAGGUGGUGCAUGGCUGUCGUCAGCUCGUGUCGUGAGAUGUUGGGUUAAGUCCCGCAACGAGCGCAACCCUUGUUCACUGUUGCCAGCACGUUAUGGUGGGGACUCAGUGGAGACCGCCGGGGUCAACUCGGAGGAAGGUGGGGAUGACGUCAAGUCAUCAUGCCCCUUAUGUCCAGGGCUUCACGCAUGCUACAAUGGCUGGUACAGAGAGUGGCGAGCCUGUGAGGGUGAGCGAAUCUCGGAAAGCCGGUCUCAGUUCGGAUUGGGGUCUGCAACUCGACCUCAUGAAGUCGGAGUCGCUAGUAAUCGCAAAUCAGCAACGCUGCGGUGAAUACGUUCCCGGGGCC